GACGAACGCUGGCGGCGUGCUUAACACAUGCAAGUCGAACGAUGAAGCUGGAGCUUGCUCCGGUGGAUUAGUGGCGAACGGGUGAGUAACACGUGAGAAAUCUGCCCUUGACUCUGGGAUAACUGCGGGAAACUGUAGCUAAUACCGGAUAUUUUCCUUGGUGGGCAUCCACUGGGGAAGAAAGAAUUUCGGUCAAGGAUGAUCUCGCGGCCUAUCAGCUAGUUGGUGAGGUAAUGGCUCACCAAGGCGACGACGGGUAGCCGGCCUGAGAGGGUGACCGGCCACACUGGGACUGAGACACGGCCCAGACUCCUACGGGAGGCAGCAGUGGGGAAUAUUGCACAAUGGGCGCAAGCCUGAUGCAGCAACGCCGCGUGAGGGAUGAAGGCCUUCGGGUUGUAAACCUCUUUUAGCAGGGAAGAAGCUAAAGUGACGGUACCUGCAGAAAAAGCACCGGCUAACUACGUGCCAGCAGCCGCAGUAA
rnacentral:rRNA from 1 species